CACUCCUGCGGGAGGCAGCAGUGGGGAAUAUUGGACAAUGGGCGCAAGCCUGAUCCAGCCAUGCCGCGUGAGUGAUGAAGGCCCUAGGGUUGUAAAGCUCUUUCACCGGUGAAGAUAAUGACGGUAACCGGAGAAGAAGCCCCGGCUAACUUCGUGCCAGCAGCCGCGGUAAUACGAAGGGGGCUAGCGUUGUUCGGAUUUACUGGGCGUAAAGCGCACGUAGGCGGACUAUUAAGUCAGGGGUGAAAUCCCGGGGCUCAACCCCGGAACUGCCUUUGAUACUGGUAGUCUUGAGUUCGAGAGAGGUGAGUGGAAUUCCGAGUGUAGAGGUGAAAUUCGUAGAUAUUCGGAGGAACACCGGUGGCGAAGGCGGCUCACUGGCUCGAUACUGACGCUGAGGUGCGAAAGCGGGGGGAGCAAACAGGAUUAGAAACCCUGGUAGUCCCA
rnacentral:rRNA from 1 species